CACAGUUUUCCAAAACCUACUGACUUGUGGACAAAUGGUACCAUUCUUCUACAGGCUGCCCCUUGCUUGUCCCCUGCAGUGGCCUCUUCCUUGAGCCGCACAGCCAGGACUCAUCAAGGUCCCCUCUCCUGCACUGACUUAGACCCUCCGGCUCCCUCUUACAAGCCCCCUUGUGAGGACACUGGGCUCACCAGACACUCCAGGAUCGUGCCCCACCUCGGGACCCGGCCUUAAUCACAUCCACACAGGCGCUGCUGCCCUGUGAGCCCAUGGCCACAUAAGCUUUCCUCCAUCCUCCACCCUUCACUGCCUCCAUCUUCCUUUUCCUCCUUCUUUCUCCUUCCACCUCCCCCUUUUCCUUUUCUUUCUUUUAAAAAAGGAAAUGGAAUUAUAUCAAUCAUGUGGCUUUGAAAUCUGUCUUUUUACUUAGCAAAAUUGGGAGCUCUUUUCUCACUUAGUGGUCAGAGUAUUUUUUAGUUGUACAGAUACCAAAUAUUGUACUUAAUGCGUUUUGUAAAUGUAUUGUUGGGAUGUUUCUUUGUCCCAGACACUGAAGGACCCUGUUAGCAAGACAGACUCACUCCAUAUUGCUGCUUGACCCACCUGCCUGCCCUUUAGAUAAACUCAGAAGGAGGAAGCUUAAAAACCUCCUCCCCUUAGAAAGUCUCUUUAGAAAUAACAAUUAAUCAACUGUUGUUUUACAAAUGUUCUAACAGCAGGACGUUCCGCUUCUGUACCUUUUGCUUGCUUUACUAGUUCUAUCCCAUAGGGGGGCCUAGAAACUGUUGGCCUCAAAGGUGUAUAAAACAUGUUUGUCUCCCCCGAGUCGGAGCUCGAGUCCGAUGCUCGGCUUGGGUCCUGGCCGGUAAUAAACUCCUGUGUGGAUUUAAUAUCGGUCUCUGGUUGGUUCUCUCUCGCUGGGUGUAACAACAUAAUUGCAAUUUGUCUUUCUUGGCAUGAAUUUCUCAUGCUGAAAUGCCGUAAACAAAGGACUCCCCAGGUAUUCUGACUGCGGCGUGCCAUUUAGUCCUAAGUACUGACAAGCUGACACCCUUUAGCGCUUUCCGGAGCUGUGUUUCUUACGGAAGCUCCAUGUGAAGG
rnacentral:lncRNA from 1 species